CCUGAUUGUUUUUACCUUCCCAUCGAUCGAGCUCCGCCGCCACGUACCUUUCUCUUUACUGCGAGCCUACUUCUUUCUGCUCGUGCACGUCCCUACCGGAUCUGCUGCCUACUGCGAAGCCUCCCUGAGCGCGCGACGGAGGUGACCGAGAAGAGGAGGAAGCGUCGAGGAAAGAGAUGGUCUCCCUCCCGGCAGGGACCCUGGUCGGGAGCGUUUCACCGGCACGGUCUUCGUCGGUUGGGUCAUGUUCCCGGAGCUAUCCAAGGUAUUCCACCACUGCUUUGCCUUGUUUCCAAAAAAAUAUUCCACCACUGCUCCUCCCUCACGCCUUGUUCCCCUCAUGCUCUCUUGGAUGAUUUGAAUUUGAGGUCUGAUUAAUUUGUGAGUAGUCGAUUGGAAGGUCUGAUUAACACUUGAGAAGCCCUAAAACAUCAGAUUACUGCGUUAGCUCAUGCCCACUGGCCACUAAGUAUAUCUCUGCUCCUCUAUUGUGUCUGUUCGCAUGGUUUACUCAACACACGAUCGACGGCGGCAAAGCACUGCAAAAACUAUUUGAUGGCAACGCGACAGCCUGCAAUAGUUGUGUCUGGUACCUGCUCUUCAUGGCCAUCAUUCCCUCAACAACUCGGCACAUAGCUAAUUUUACACACAAGAUUAGGAAUUUCCUUGCUUAUUUUAAUUCCGUUCGAGAUCAUGGCAUUGAUGUUGAAUUAUAUUGGACUAUCUCUCAGAUUCCCCGUAAGUGUUUACACGGGCGGCCAUACACUAGGGUUAUAUCACUUGAAUGCUGGGAAAUAUAUUAAGAACAGGCUUGCAUAUGGAGAUGUGAGUUGCACUCAAUCUAGCCACGAAGGAUUUAAUUCACCUGGGAAGUGUCAAUUAGGAGAAACUGUUUAGGAAACAUGUCAUUUUCCAUCUCAGCAGGGUGCUUGCUUUCUUUAAUGAAGAGGUAAAGUCUUCUUAUUGUACUUUUCUGUUCAUAUUUUUGACCUGUUCAGAGUUGUAUUGACAGACAUGCUAAUCUCCAGGGAGUGGACAUGUAGGAACAAAGAAGUGAACUUGCCUUCUGAAAGUUAAUUAACUGCCGUGUUGCCACCUCCAUUCAGUUCUCAUGUUUGCCUGCAUUUUCAUUGUGGGUACAGAACCAAGAUUGUAUUUCUCGAUGUGAUGCCAAGCGAUCUCAACAAAAUGUGAUAAAACCUGACAAGCUAGCCUCAAGCACACGAUUAUUAUUUUUCCCGUGUAUCCAGGUCCACCCUCCGUGAAGCACACAUUUCUACAUCGUCAUCUUGCAUGCGUGUGCAGUCAGAGAUACGACGGCCUGAUUGACUUCUAAGUUUCAGGCAUUUUGGAAGAAGGCUUCUUGAUGCUCUAACAGGAAGUUAUGCUUUUUAAAGAGCGAAAAGAUCAUCAGGAAGGCUGCUGUAUUUUAAUCCAGAAAACAACAUGCCAUGCAAGGUGAAAUCAUCACCCCCAAUG